AGUGGCGGACGGGUGAGUAACGCGUGAGAAUCUGCCUUGGGGUCGGGGACAACCACUGGAAACGGUGGCUAAUACCGGAUAAGCCGAUUGGUGAAAGAUUUAUUGCCCGAAGAGGAGCUCGCGUCUGAUUAGCUAGUUGGUGAGGUAAGAGCUCACCAAGGCAGCGAUCAGUAGCUGGUCUGAGAGGACGAUCAGCCACACUGGGACUGAGACACGGCCCAGACUCCUACGGGAGGCAGCAGUGGGGAAUUUUCCGCAAUGGGCGAAAGCCUGACGGAGCAAGACCGCGUGAGGGAGGAAGGCUCUUGGGUUGUAAACCUCUUUUCUCAGGGAAGAAGCUCUGACGGUACCUGAGGAAUCAGCCUCGGCUAACUCCGUGCCAGCAGCCGCGGUAAUACGGAGGAGGCAAGCGUUAUCCGGAAUUAUUGGGCGUAAAGCGUCCGCANGUGGCGAUUCAAGUCUGCUGUCAAAGCACGGGGCUUAACUCCGUAAAGGCAGUGGAAACUGAAUAGCUAGAGUGCCGUAGGGGUAGAGGGAAUUCCCGGUGUAGCGGUGAAAUGCGUAGAGAUCGGGAAGAACAUCGGUGGCGAAAGCGCUCUACUGGACGGCAACUGACACUCAGGGACGAAAGCUAGGGGAGCGAAUGGGAUUAGAUACCCC
rnacentral:rRNA from 1 species